GAAGAACGGGCCUACCAGCACGGAAGAACAACAACACAUGGUAGAGUGUGACAAGUGCAGCUGCAGCGAGGGCUUUGCGUCGACUCAUCGAAAAGAAAAACAGUAGGAGUUGUGUAUGGAAGUUCUUUGUGUUCGAGGCGGAUCAUCAGUGAUUAAUAAUAAAUUCGCAAAAACCAGUAUGCAAACGGUGUCACCGAAGUGUUCAGACGAAAGGAAGAUACGCUUCCGACUUCAAUGACAGACAUCCACAUAAAUUCCAGGGAAUUUAAGUAUUAGCCAGAGGAGAAUGUCGUCCAGGAGAGGCAGGAGCAAAGUUACCAAACAAAUAUACAGCCAAUCAUAUGAGAAGCUUAUCAGAGGCACAGAAUACAACAAAAACUCAGAAGAAGCAAGGAAAUUGGAUAGGGCAGUUGCUGAAUUCAUAUGCAUGGAUCAAGUUCCUGUCUACACUAUAGAAAAUCAUGGAUUCCAGCAAAUGCUUUAGCAUUUCAACCCCAGAUAUCAGCUACCAACUUGAAAUUAUUUCAUGUACACAGAGAUCCCCAAAAUCUACACUAAAACUAGAGACCUCAUAACCCAGCAUCUCAGAGAGAAGCCAAUUUGUGCCUGCACAACUGAUCUGUGGACAAGCAGAGCUUAUUAAAAAAAAGUAAUGCUUGUUACUAUGCACCACAUAACCAAGUCAUCGGAGAUGCACUCCUAGUGUUUAGGCUGUAGUGGCCUGAACACAGAACACACAGGUGAGAGUUUGAAAGAGACUUUUGAAGAGACGAUAGAAGAGGAUUGGAAGUUUUCAAGAAUGGCAGGCAUCACAACAGACAAUGCCUCCAACAACAAGAAGGCAUAUAAAGAUGACUACAAAUGGAUCCCAUGUUUUGGCCACAGUCUGCACCUUGCAGUCAACAAAGCCAUCAAUAUUUACAGGGUAUCUGCAGCACUGUCAAGGCUUCGUAAAACAAUAUGUGCCUUCACCAGAUCACCAAAGCUUUCACGUCAACUUACCAGAAAACAGAAGGACCAUAACAUAAACACAUACAUGAUGAACCCACUUGUUGGAAUUAUUCAUAUGAUAUGGUGGAAAGGUUUUUGGAGCAGCAGCAAGCUGUGUGUGCGGUGCUGGCAGUGGACAGAAAAAAAGGGCAUCUGAUGCCCAGAGACACUGACAUUACAACUUUAGAAACUCUGAAAGACGUCCUUGGACCACUGGGUCCUUCUACUGCUGCACUAAGUGGUGAGAAGCACACAACCUUCUCCUCUGUCGUACCAUUGAUGUGGAAGAUAUUCACAUGUCUCAGUGAUGAAGAGGAUGACUCUCUACUUGCUGGGGAGAUGAAUAGUUUGAUCAAAGAAUAUAUCUUGAGCAAUGUAACAACGACAGGGAGCUACAGCUUCUGUUGAACAUUGCCACCUACCUUGACCAUAUGUUUAAAUACAGCUUUGUUUUAUUUGAGGAUGAUGUCAAACACAAGUCUUCUGGACCAAGUAAGGAAAGCUGCUGAUGACGGAAGUGGAACCCAUGUGCCAAGACAAGCGGAGGCCUCAAGCCAAGACAGCCGAUCAAAAAAGUCCAAGACUGAUUUGAAACAGCUGCUUACGAGUACACAAAGAGAAAAGAAAAGGCAAUGAUGCCACAUCAACUCAAGCAGGGUUCUCUUCAAGUCAAACAGUGUUGUUUCUUUUUAUUUAUUACUUGAAGGCUACAUGCCACUGUUGUUUUUUUUAAUGUUCAAAUGUUUUAAUCCAGGAGUGUAUUUUGAAGUACAUGGGAUUUACUGUUUUGUUUUUUUAGUGUAGUAUUGAAUUGGGUAUCGAGAAUCAUGGAAUUUCACUGGUAUUCGUAUCAGUGACUAAAUUUCUGGUAUCAUGACACCAAUAGUAUCUACUGUAUAUGGCUAGUGAUGAACCAGAAUCUAAUGCUUGUGUCAGCAAUGACCAAGGGGCCUCAUUUAUAAACGUUGCGUAAGCACAAAAGGUGUACACCAUUUUCUGAGCAUACCGUGGAAUUAAUAAAAAA